CGGCGCCCGCUGCAGGGCUAAUCCCGAGAUUCCGGAGCCAGCCCCGGAAUUCCUACAGCUCAAAUCCUGCCUUCCACGUCACAUUUGUCUCCCCGAUUCCCUCAGACAGUUCCAAGAAAUUGGGGCGGGAUCAAACUUUAUUUAUUUAAUUUUUAUUAGAGCAGGGUGUGUAGUCCUGACUUAUUAAACCAACAAACAAAAAAAUUAAGCCGUGGCGUAUUUUAGGUGUCUCUUCACAGCUGGUAAACGAUCUGCUGACACUCCGUAGGGAUGCUGUGGUCUCACUUGCAGAUGUUAUGAUUCAAACUCGAGACCAGAGUGAAUACGAGGCCUUGUCUCUAACGGAAACCAUUCCUACAAGACCAGAAUACGGUUCCUUCCUUAAGAUACAGUACAGGAUGUUGUACACUUAAGAACUCUUGAGAGCCUGGCGUUUGUGCAAACCGUGACCACAGCACCUUGAUGGAGCCCUAUCCACAGGGGUUCUGCUCCUAUAAAUAAAGAAGCUGCAUCACCACAGCGCAGGAAAUGCCUUAAUCCAGGCUUUCACGGUGAUUGCAUGGAUUGCUGACAUCACCCCUUGCCUGCCUCCACCUCAUCAUUCAUGAUAAAAGAGGGAUGCUCUUCAUAAAAUGCAGAUUAGACAAGGUUACGUCCUUGUCCAAUGUCUCGGUGGCUUGCUGUGGAUGGCAGAAGCUUGGCAUUCUUUGCAUUUCAUGCCAGUCUCUCCCAGCCUGGCUAUGAUGUCCCUCUCUAGACACAUCUCCACGGAGCCCCAUGGUUAUGCCACACUGCAGCUAGUGUCUCCAAGUGCUGGUCUGAGGAGAUUUUUCUCAAGAUAUUGGAAAGUCUGGCUAAAUGAAUGUGGAUUUAAAUCAAACUCCACACACACUGAGAACGUCUGAGAAGGAGCCAAGUGGGUAAAGUUUGAGGACCAAGCUAACACUUCAGUGAAUUCAACUGGGAAAACACACGGAAGGCAUUUGGAACACAACUUCUAGAAUAUAUCCAGCUGUCUUUUGCCCCUUCCCUUCUGCCUGAGAUGCCAAUCGCUUGUGAGUUACAAAAAUAACUGUUCUACAUGUACAGGGGAUACAGAAAAAAAACCUGUUAUAUGCUUGGCAUAUAGUAGGAAUAGAGGCUCUGGUGAGCCAAACAUAUAAACACAUGAUCACAGUGUGUCAAAAUGAAGGGUGUCUUGGCAGCAUAGGGCGGAGGGCUGAGUUAUGUGGCCAGGGGACAGUAACUCUGCCUUCUUCACUUGACCUACCACUAAAGUGUGCCCCAGUUUAACCUCCUGUAUUUUGAGCUUAUUUCUUCUGUGCAAAUACACAUGUCGUAUCUUCUUGAUAUAUUAGCGCCUAGCAAAUGCUCUCCAAUUUGUUUCUAAUGAGAUGUCUCAAAGUCCACCUUGGGGGAUAGAGAGAUGUUUUAGUGGGUAAGACUGCUAGAUGCACAAACGUAAGGACCGGAGUUGAAUCCCUGGCUCCCGUAUAAAAGCUGAACAUGGCUGCAUGUGCCUGUAACAUUUUAUGUUAUAUAUGGUUUGCUAUAGUUUUAAACGUUGAAAAGAACAUCUAGGAUGAAGAAAAUAGAGGAUGUUUUUUCUUCUUUGACUGUUUAAGGAUUCACCUUUAUCAUGAAUGUUUCAGUAAUUAUCUAGACCAGAGACUUGAUGAUGACUUCGGAGGAAACAAGUAGUUUGACCUGGCCCACCACAGUCCAUAGGCCAGUACUCUGGAAAAAACUAACCAAAAUGCCACAUGUCAUCUCUGUAUUUGGAUUCAGAACCCACGUUGAUGGUGGCAAGAUGAUCGGCUUUGGCAUGGUUUAGGGUUCCUUGAAUUAUGCCAAGAAAAAUAAGCCCAAACACAGACUUGCAAGACACAGCUCUAUAAAAAGAAAAAAGAGUUUAGAAAACAGUGUUAAAGAGGCAAGAACAGGAUAAAGAAAAGCGGGGUCGGUAGUUGGUAGGAGAGCAGGGUGUCUGCAAAGACGGAGGGUGGUGCUGGCAGAAGCGACCCGAGACUGGUCUUGGCAGAAGGAGUGAAGAGUCUGCAGUGACUUGAUCUGUGGUGACAUGCACAUUUCUAAGCAGAGGACUAAUAACCUGCACAAUUUUAACAAAAAAGUGAUUUUUAAACAGCACAUCCCAGGGCAAUGCUGAACAUGGCUUGGUGUUGUGGUGGUUUGAAAGAAAAUGUCCCCCAAAGGGCGUGGCACUAUUAGGAGGUGUGGCCUUCGUGGAGGAAGUGUGUCACCGUGAGGGUGGGCUUUGAGGUCUUUUCUCAACCUUCCCUCGGUGUGACAGAGUUGACUUCCUAUUGCCUGCAAGAUG
ensembl:lncRNA